rnacentral:rRNA from 1 species
ACACCCGUUCCCAUUCCGAACACGGAAGUUAAGCUCUGCUUCGGCGAUGGUACUGC